AUUGAACGCUGGCGGCAUGCCUUACACAUGCAAGUCGAACGGCAGCGGACCUUCGGGUGCCGGCGAGUGGCGAACGGGUGAGUAAUGCAUCGGAACGUACCUUUCAGUGGGGGAUAACGUAGCGAAAGUUACGCUAAUACCGCAUAUUCUGUGAGCAGGAAAGCAGGGGAUCGCAAGACCUUGCGCUGAUUGAGCGGCCGAUGUCAGAUUAGCUAGUUGGUGAGGUAAAGGCUCACCAAGGCGACGAUCUGUAGCGGGUCUGAGAGGACGAUCCGCCACACUGGAACUGAGACAAGGUCCAGACUCCUACGGGAGGCAGCAGUGGGGAAUUGUGGACAAUGGGGGCAACCCUGAUCCAGCCAUGCCGCGUGAGUGAAGAAGGCCUUCGGGUUGUAAAGCUCUUUCGGCCGGGAAGAAAUCGCACGGGCUAAUACCCUGUGUGGAUGACGGUACCGGAAUAAGAAGCACCGGCUAACUACGUGCCAGCCGCCGCCGUAAGAC
rnacentral:rRNA from 1 species